rnacentral:rRNA from 1 species
GGUAGAGCACUGUUUCGGCUAGGGGGUCAUCCCGACUUACCAACCCGAUGCAAACUACGAAUACCGAAGAAUGUUAUCACGGGAGACACACGGCGGGUGCUAACGUCCGUCGUGAAGAGGGAAACAACCCAGACCGCCAGCUAAGGUCCCAAAGUCAUGGUUAAGUGGGAAACGAUGUGGGAAGGCACAGACAGCCAGGAUGUUGGCUUAGAAGCAGCCAUCAUUUAAAGAAAGCGUAAUAGCUCACUGGUCGAGUCGGCCUGCGCGGAAGAUGUAACGGGGCUAAACCAUGCACCGAAGCUGCGGCAGCGACACUAUGUGUUGUUGGGUAGGGGAGCGUUCUGUAAGCCUGCGAAGGUGACCUGUGAGGGUUGCUGGAGGUAUCAGAAGUGCGAAUGCUGACAUAAGUAACGAUAAAGCGGGUGAAAAGCCCGCUCGC